rnacentral:rRNA from 1 species
AUUAAGACUCCCUUCGGGGAGUGCAUAAAGUGGCGCACGGGUGAGUAACACGUAAGUAAUCUACCUUUGAGUGGGGAAUAACGUCCGGAAACGGGCGCUAAUACCGCAUAACGCAGCGGCACCGCAAGGUGACAGUUGUUAAAGGAGCAAUCCGCUUGAAGAGGAGCUUGCGGCAGAUUAGCUAGUUGGUAGGGUAAUGGCUUACCAAGGCUACGAUCUGUAUCCGGUCUAAGAGGACGGUCGGACACACUGACACUGAAUAACGGGUCAGACUCCUACGGGAGGCAGCAGUCGGGAAUUUUGGGCAAUGGGCGAAAGCCUGACCCAGCAACGCCGCGUGAAGAAUGAAGUAUUUCGGUAUGUAAACUUCGAAAGAAUGGGAAGAAUAAAUGACGGUACCAUUUAUAAGGUCCGGCUAACUACGUGCCAGCAGCCGCGGUAAUACGUAGGGACCAAGCGUUGUUCGGAUUUANUGGGCGUAAAGGGCGCGUAGGCGGCGUGUCAAGUCAGCUGUGAAAUCUUGAGGCUUAACCUCAAGCGGUCAGCUGAUACUGAUGUGCUAGAGUGCAGAAAGGGCAAUCGGAAUUCUUGGUGUAGCGGUGAAAUGCGUAGAUAUCAAGAGGAACACCUGAGGCGAAGGCGGGUUGCUAGGCUGACACUGACGCUGAGGCGCGAAAGCCAGGGGAGCAAACGGGAUUAGAUACCCCGGUAGUCCUGGCCCUAAACGAUGAAUACUUGGUGUCUGGAGUUAUUAAUGCUCCGGGUGCCGUCGCUAACGUUUUAAGUAUUCCGCCUGGGGAGUACGCACGCAAGUGUGAAACU